UGUAAGUUGUGUAACAAAACACGAGUCUCUAUCACUGCAUCAGCUAGAAAGCAGGGUGUCUCAGGACAAUGUUUCUUGUUGCAGAGAAAAUAGUGAGUGAGACAGUGAGUGAGUUUAGUUUUACGCCACACUCAGCAAUAUUCCA